rnacentral:lncRNA from 1 species
UGCGGGAGGUGGGGGAGAGGAGCUCGUUUUCACCUAGGGAAGACGAAUGACAGCCAUAGAAGAAGAGGCAUCAUCCUGUCUCUAAAUGGCAGGAGGACUUUGUAUAAGCCUUCCAGACAAUGGAAGCCAUGUGGGCGAAGACUCAGGAGCCGACCUCUGUCAUAGCAGCCUUUCAAACAUGAUGUAGAAGCGAUAUUCAUCUUACUGGGCCCGUAGACAUGAGAAGGAACCACGUACCAUCCAAAGGCCCGGGGAAGAAAUUACAGGUAAAGAACAAGCCCAAGCUGAUAAAUUCGUCAGAAAGUAUAUCCUAAAGUGAACCAUUCAUCUCACCUGCUAUGCAAGACUUCAACUGCUCAAGUCUGGCCACUGUGAUCCAGAGCCUCCUCAUGGCUGCCUGAGGAAGACAAUCGCCUCCUGUUUGCCUUUGGAACAAGACGUAGAACUUGCAGCUCCUCCAGCACCAUGUCUGACUGCACAGUGCCCUGCUUCCUGCCAUGAUGAUAAUGGACUGAACUUCUGAAACUGUAAGCCAGCACCAAUGAAAUGUUUUUUCUUUAUAAGAAUUGCCUUAGCUGGGCGUGGUAGCACACGCCUUUAAUCCCAGCACUUGGGAGGCAGAGG